UAUUCCUGUGUGUGUCUAUCUAUAACACAUCUUCUUUAUACAUUCGUCUACAGAGGGACACUUGAUUUGCUUCCAUAUCUUGACUAUUUGGCUGCACCAAUUUGUCCUUCCCACCACAUUGCACUAGAAUUCUCUUUUCUCCACAUCUAUGCCAACAUUUGUUAUUUCUUGUCAUGAUUCUAGUCAUUCUGACAAGUGUAAGGAGAGAGAGAGUGAGUGAUAUCUCAGACCACAGAAGUACAAUUCAAAACUGCAACUUCUCAUCUGGAAUUGAACCUGGAAAAUCAGUUAACGAGUAAUACAGAAUUAAGGAUUAACGGGCCAGCAUCAACAGAAACAGCAUCUGAGGGGCCACUGGGUGGCUCAGUCAGUUAAGCAUCUGUCUUCAGCUCAGGUCUGAACCCACUGUCCUGGAAUCAAG